ensembl:lncRNA
ACCAGUCAGUGCGCAGCUUCAGUGUGACAAAUCCAUUAUCAGUGCCACAGUUGGAGGAAGGUUUAAUGUUGCCUGCACAUACAACACAAACCAGUUCCGCUUCAGUAAGAAGUACUGGUGUUUUGGGGAGUCCAGGAGCUCUUGUGAUAUUGUGAUGGAUACAGACGGCUUCACCAAAGCUGAGCUCAAGAGUCGGGCUCAGAUCACUGAGACCUACAGAACCUUUAAUAUUUUAAUGACAGGACUGCAGGUGGGAGACAGGGGAGUCUACUGGGCUGCAAUUGACAAGAUGUAUGCUGAUAUCAUGUUUAAGAUCCAGGUUGAAGUAAAAGAGGAUUUUGAGAGCUACAACUGUAGGACAACUACACAACCCAUUGCAACCACCAUUACCACAGUGGAAAUCUUUAGCUCAACAUUUGUCACUCAGACCAGUGGAUAUAAAAACCAGUCACUACAUGUCAAUCAAACACAGAUGGAAAACAUCCUUCUCAGGUAUGAACAAUGUUUAUUUAAAUUUUCCUGUCUGAAUAGCAUACUAGUUAAAACUAACAUUUAUUGCAGAAAGAAUGUCCUUAAACAUUGUCACUGUCUUAUCUAAAGCACCAUUUGAGAACAGCUUCUAUCCUUUACAUUACAUGAACAUUUCAUACUGAAUGCUGGGAAAAAUGGGACUAAGUUAGCAGGCUACAGUUGCAAAAUCUGUUGUUUUGCCCUAACAUGACACAGAUUUGAUGUUCUCAGAGCUGUGUGAACACACAAAUCUGGUCUUUUCAAAUUAGAUCUGAGCCACUGUCAUAUGUGGUCCUACUAGCUUACCAUCUGAUAUAUACAGCCUUCAGAUGAGCACCCAAAUGCAGCAUUAGUGCUAGGAAACAUUGCAAAAGUAGUACAUGUGGCUCUUUCUCACAUUUGUCUUUCUGUAAUAAUGAACAGCUGAAAGGUUGGUCACAGCUCAUUAUCUUUGGGACGAAGGCUUGUUCUGAUGGUUAGAGCGGUCCAGACCUAAAUUGUGUUCUAAAAGGCAAGAGACUCUUAGGUGCAUUUGGGACGGACUCGUGCGACAUGCAGGCACCGCUUGUGCCACAUGCACCAUAUAGGUCGUACUCUUUUGUAAAUUAAAAUAAUUUAUUUGUCUACAGCAUCUGAAUAAGGAAUGCAAGCACAAGACAGCUCAUGAAAUUUAUAAACAAAUGCAUUUUUACUCAUAUCAUGCUGGCCAGACUGGAUCUAUAGGUCAGACAAAUUAAUCCACUCUGAUUGAUCCUCACCUGUUUCUCAAAGGAUUCAGUGUAAUACACCACUCCUGAGUCUGCAUUGUUGCAGCCCUCACCAAAGGCCACAGUAAGGGGCCAUAGAGGGUAUUAAUUACCAACCCUUUGAAUGGCAAAAUAAGAUCUGGGACACCCUGCAGCCUCAUUGUCCUCACGCACACCUGCAAUUGUGAAUUGGAGGACCAUUUGUUCUCAUUAUGUCCAUGGAUUCACAUGACGUUACUGAUUAGGAUGCAGGUGAUUUAAGGAUAGAUUCGUUACACUUACCUACACAAAUGUGAACCAUGAAGUUCAUGAAGCAUGAAGCAAGAAAUUGGUAUUUAGCAAUGAGACUUGAAACGCGAUCAUAUUUUUUAUGCUAAGAUACUUUAAGCUUGAAAGUAUUUAACUUUUAUUCUCUUUUAAAGUAAAUAGCUUUGAGACAGCUGUGAUAUUGCAGCAUGGAGGGUGCACAGAAGAAGCUUGGACAACUCUAAGAUUGUGUCCAUGAAGACUAAUUUAGAAUUAACACAACACAACAGCUGGAGGUAAAGCUGUGGCCAGCUACAGAAUUCCACUGGAGGUUAUGUUAAUGUUUAUAAUUCAAAUAAACUCUAAAAAAUCAUCACAUACUUAAAACGCAAUUUUACUUAUCCCCCUUUAAAAAUUAUAUACAGCCUAAGCAUAAGUUAAGCAUAAGCCAAGCAUCAUGGGAGCCAAAAGGGCCCCCCUUGUAGAUCAGAUCAGCAACACCACUGCUUAACAGUUCCACCACACAAAGUCUUUGAAAUAUCUAGGAGCCUGUUGCCUCCUCUUUGAGGGCUCCCGAACUGAGGAGGUAUGUGGCAUCCUCACAGGUUCUGCCGACGGUGUCAGGCUGCUAUGGUCCUCCCAGAUCUCUGGCCCGCAUUGAGGGGACUCCAAAGCUGCUGGGUUGCAACGACAGCAUUUUGAUCUGAUGGGCAUCAUUCUGCAGGGCCUUGAGAACUAGGUUCCCAGGUAGCUGAUCAUAUGAAGCCAUAAGAGCAACUGAAGUGCAUACAAUGAAUUGCCAUAACCCUUUCCUCAGCACACCGUAGGUCUUCAAGUCAUCAUCAGGGCUCCUUAAGGCAAUACUGGUGGAGGACGAGAAUAACAAAUUAAGUCUAUUACAUUGAUUUAAAGUUGUUUUAAGUACUGGAUAGUGGAAAGCAAUAUAGCCAUGCCUUUACUGUAUUUUAAGGUGGACUGUAUUCAAUUCUGAUUGAAUUUAUUGUUUUUUAAUAAAGCAGUCAAGCAAUGUGAAACCAUUGUAGUAAAGAUUUUUUUUUAAUUUGGCAUGAAUUCCUCUGCAAAAUAUCCAGUAGUUUGUCAAAUAUAAUAUACUGUGAUGAAGACAGUGUGGAACAAUACAUUUUGGGAAACUAUAAAAACUACUUCAAAUAUCUGUUUCUCUCAGGUCGUGGUCAGGAGUGCCGCUGUGGUAUGACAUCGUUCGCUGGACUCUCCUCACUGUUAUGAUGGUCACCACUGGUCUAGUGCACAUGUGCACACAGGCCAAAGCCAGCAGACAGACACAUCUGACUGUGGGAAGGAUUUUCCUUUAGUUUCACAGUUUAUGCAGCUGUCCAUCUAAAUAGUUGCCUGUCCCUUAUAGAGCCAAUAGUCAUAGGUUCCGUUAUGGGACAUAUUUUGAUUUCUGUGCCUUAAUGUGAUUGUGUCUCUUUCAUCUGCAGCCAAGUGUGCUAUACUAGAGCCAAUACGUCCUUAUUUUAUAGUCAAUAAAGACAUACAUUUAGCCUUAAGGGUAUGAUUAAGCUGUAUUUACUCUUAAUCCCUUUUUGUGCACUGUUGAACGUAAAACAACCUUUUACAGUGUCAUAUGGAAAGUUGGAGUUCUGUUGCUUGUCCUGUAGAUGGAAGUAUUUUCAAAGUGAUCUACACAGACAUGCCAUUACACAGACACAAAACAAUAAAAAGGACGAGAGUUUCCAAAACUGGAGUUCAGUGGGACAACCAUGAAACAUGUGGUACACCACCAGAACAUCAUAUAAAUAACGCUUU